rnacentral:pre_miRNA from 1 species
AAGCUACUCCCUCCGUUCGGAAUUACUUGUCGCAGAAAUGGAUGUAUCUAGACGUAUUUUAGUUCUACAUACAUCCAUUUUAGCGACAAGUAAUUCCGAACGGAGGGAGUAUAUA